UAGUCAGGCCCACGCAGGGAGGGGUAUAGAAGGCCAUGGAGGGGGUGUGAAGCCAUAAAACACUGAGUGGGCCUUAAUUGGGAUUAGGCCCAAUCCAGAUGGAUAUCCAACGAGGGAACGCAAGGUUCCCCUCAUCUUCUUCCCUUCGCUCGCAAGUCGCAACCAACGGCAGCUCAAUGCCAAACGCCGAUCCCGGCCAUGCCGGCGACGCAACACGGCGGUCCCUACGCCGUCCGCCGUUCCGACCUCCCUUCACCAAAACGAGAUAACCUGAUCUUACCACUUAGAAAUGUCUAACAAGAUCCUUCGACGCGGUAAAUCUAUUAUGAACGAAAACAGAAACGGAUUCGUGUCGCUCUCACGAAUCAGAUCGAAUAUUCGAAGCGGAAUGAACUCGGUGACGACUCACACCACAACACCAGAAUUAAUCAUCGUAAUGGGGAGAAACAACCUACCGGCGGAUGCGACGGGAACGACGGAGACCGACUGAGAAAAUUGGAAUUAUGGUGGAUUGGUUAUGGUAACGCAGGAUUGGUACAUCGUGCUGGAGACGGCGAUGCGGAAACGAGGAGUUCUUGGAAGGAUUUACGGAGGAAUUAUGCAGGUGGUGGAGAUUGUCGUGCGGGAAUAAGAGAAAGGGAAGAAGAAGUUUUUGGAAGAUUUGAGAAGUUGUUCGAGUUUGUUACGAUGGCGGAAGAGGAUAAUGGAAAAGUGAGGAAGAAGAAUUUCGAAAAAAUGAAUUGAUGGCGAGAGAGGACUCGGGAGCCUCCUUUGUUCACAUAUUUAUAGAGCUGAGUUUUGUGUUUCUUCAUGUCAUUCCUGUUAUCUGCAUUUUGAGCUUGUGGAUUUUUGGCUUUUGCAUUGUAGCAUUUUGAUUUCGCACGCGUGUGCGUUUGGAGCUGUAGUUGGUAGCCUCACGUUUCACUGCGUUUUAACGUACUGUUGUUGCAGCUUGGUUUUUCUGUCAUGGCUUGUAUGGGCUUUGGUGGUUUGCAGGUUGUUGGAGCCGUUGCUUUGUGGCUUAGAUUAUCACAUUUUGCUGCUGAGUCGAGCUUUGGUAGCAGCUUUUCGUUUAUGCUUCCUGUUUUGGUUGUUUUCACUUGCAGCUUUAUGCUUGAAUUCUUUGCGUUUGGAAGAGCUUUUGAAGUUGGCUUUGUAGUAGCAUUGUUUCUUGCGCGGAUGGAAGCUUUUCGCAUGCUGUAGCAGCUGGUAUUGUUUUUCAUUGCCGUUUGGCUUAUGCAGCUACUUGGCAGCUUGUGUUUGAAAUGUUAUCCACGUUUGAUUACUGCAAUGCACUGCAUUGUAAUUCAUGUUGUACUUAUUUUAAUAAUUGGAACAUGGAUAAUGGGAAUGAAUACUUGGUUAAUGGAUA